rnacentral:rRNA from 1 species
UACGGAGGGUGCAAGCGUUAUCCGGAUUCACUGGGCGUAAAGGGUGCGUAGGCGGUCGGGUAAGUCUGGCGUGAAAUCUCCAAGCCUAACUUGGAAACUGCGUUGGAUACUAUCCGGCUCGAGGAAUGGAGGGGAGACUGGAAUACUUGGUGUAGCAGUGAAAUGCGUAGAUAUCAAGUGGAACACCAGUGGCGAAGGCGAGUCUCUGGACAUUUCCUGACGCUGAGGCACGAAAGCCAGGGGAGCAAACGGG